CCCUUAGAUGUUCUGGGCCGCACGCGUGCUACACUGAGUGGAUCAGCGGGUCAGGUUGCGCGAAAGUGUUUCCUAAUCUUGAAAUCCGCUCGUGAUGGGGAUUGACGGUUGCAAUUUUCCGUCAUGAACGAGGAAUACCUUGUAAGCGCGGGUCAUCAUCCCGCGCUGAAUACGUCCCUGUCCUUUGUACACACCGCCCGUCGCUCCUACCGAUUGAGUGGUCCGGUGAGGCUUUGGGAUCUGAGCAAAGAGAGCGUUUCGCUCGUUUUGCCCGGAAAACUCAGUCGAACCUUAUCAUUUAGAGGAAGGAGAAGUCGUAACA
rnacentral:rRNA from 1 species